AGUUAACCACGUAAAAGUUAACUCUUUGUAUGCAGUUGGAACGUUUGCCUACGUUUGUCGCUAGGGGCGCUGUUCCAACUACAUACAAAGAGUUAACUUUUACGCUAUCGA
rnacentral:pre_miRNA from 9 species